rnacentral:lncRNA from 1 species
GAAAUGUUCGUUUUAGUUUUUUAUGCAUUGUUGGAGUUAAUUUAUGCUGGCACUUAGGUGAUUGGUAGAGAGAAACUCUACCAAGUAAAAUCAAAGGAAGAAAAUCAAAAGAAAACUAAGAAAAGAAGAUAAAAUAAAACUUUGUCAAUUUUCUUGUUAAUCUUUCAUAAUGGAAUCCAUACAACUUAUACUAACUAUCCACUCUAAGGGAUGAAAGGUGACCUUACAUGUGGCACCAUCAUAGAAAGUAGAAUAUUCUAGAACAUGAUCUAAAUAAUAAACUAGAAAUAAACAUAGAAAUAAUAAUAACUAAUUAUAAUUGGCAUAGUAACUUGAGGCCCAUAAAUGAUGUAGCUAUAGAAGCCCAUUGAGAAUGCAACCCUCUACCAUUACCAUCCCCUUGAAAACAUCCUUGUCCUCAAGGAUGGAAAAGUGAGCUAGCCAUGCAACAAGAAAGAUCCAUGCUAGGAGAGUAAUGUCAAUGAGGCCAAGUCCAGGAAAAGAAGUAACUGUCAUGUUAAAUGAAAGCACCAAGGUAGCAUGAAGGGCCAAUAGAGUGACUUGAUGUGGUGUGUAGUAACAAAAAAUGCCUUGUGUGCUGUCCCAUGAAGCAAGAAGUUCACGCCAUUUAAUUUCAUGGCCAAUGGGGAAGCCUAGCCACGCUAUUAAGCUUUGUUGGAAAGACAAUUCAAGUGGUGGACAUAGGGAAGUCUUGUAAGACCAGCCCAAUAUAAGAAAGACCCAAUUGAAAGAGUGUUGAGCAUGGUGAGCAAGCUUCGUUUGACCCCUUGUGAACAAGUGGGGUAGCCAUGCAAGGAUGAGAAUCCAAGUAAGAAGAGAACAAUAUGUGACAUUGUGAAGCACUGAAGCAAGCAGUGACUGUAAGAGUUUAAUUCUCUGGUGCUCAAGCCACACGGUUUGUGCAGCAAAGCUGGACCAAUCGAAGAGCUUAGGUGCUGCCACAUUUAAUGACAAAGAGUACGCAGACACAGUUUGUGUUUGCAAGUCCUCAAAGAUGAGAAAAUGAGCCCGCCAAGCAACGAGAAGGAUCCAUGUGAGGAGCGUACCGAGACUUGGGCCAAGUCCAUGAGUGAGCCCCAACCUUUGCUCCAGGACGCAGAAAGAAAUAAGGAAGGUUGUUGUGGGAGGAAUGGAAAAUGCUAGUAGGCUCAACAUGGGAAAAUCAUUUGGAAUUGGGCCUAUCCAAAAACAGAUUCCACAUAUUUGGCUAUGAAGCAUUUCAUCAUGGUAGUUGCAAUAAGAGAGCAAUGCUGUUUGCAGCAAAAGAACAUGUGUGCAUGGCCUAAUAAAAGACACCUUGUUCCAAUUUGUUUCCACAUUGCCAAAUGAAUUAUAUGCUACCGAGGUAGGGCCCGUGGGUAAAAGAAUUUCCCAUUCCAUGUACCAAGUGGGAUGCACGAACCCCAUGAGUGAAAGAAAAUGGGAAUUCAACUCUUCAUGCCUAGCAUCCCAUGGUCUUUGACAAUGUGUCCCUAUGGAGCUUGGAACAGGGAAAAGUAAGUGGAUCACAACCAAUGGAGCACAAUCACACUGCGUACAAGUGCUUUGAUAUGUUGCCGUAGAGUGCAUUGAAUCAUGGAGAAAAGGUUUGAGCAAACCCUCCUCAAAAUACAGUAAGCAUCUUGUCAAUUUAUACCGUGUUAUAUGUGCUUUGGAGCUGAAGAUAGCUUCUCCUGCUAGUGAGGAAGAACUGAUCCAAAAUGUAGUCCCAAUUGCUAGAUAGGAGUCUAAAAGGAAUAUAGCAAGUUGUCCCAGAGCAGAGGUGCUUGCCUCAAGUUCACCAUCAACCUUGGUAGCAGUAGAUAUAUCACAAGAGCUUAACCAAGCAGGAUGAAAAUGCCUAGCAGGCCAGUCAAAAAUAUUAGCUGUAGAUGUCUGAGUAACAUAGGUCAAUGUAGCAGGAUGAAGGUAAAUCAACUUCAAAUUAUCAGUAGCACAUAUAGCCAAGUUACCAUUGGCUAAAAUGGAAACAACAACAUGAAUUCCAGGAUCAAACAGUGUGAUAAUCAUUUCAUGUAAUGCGGUAUCAACAUGAUUUUCAAAAUGAGUAGUAUUAGCAAGUAUCUUCAAAAGUUUCUUCUCAUGCAUUUUAUCAAACAUAUGGUGCGGGAUUCGAUGAGUUAUGUCUCUUGGAAUGAGAAGUGAGUCAGAGUUCAAUUCAAGGAUUGUACCAGGUGACCUUGUAGGUAUGUUGCCCUCUUGGCUAGAUAGAACGCAUGACGUUGCCAUAGAGAUAGACAUAGAGCUGAGAAUAAGUUCAGCUAUGGAUGCCCAAUCAAAAUCCGUGUGACCAUAGCUUUUCCACAAUGAAAAUCUCAUAGGUGUGGCUUGUAUAGGAUAAGCAUUGGGCUGACCUCCAAAGGCAGAGUAGUGCAAAACUGAAUCUCUUGUAGCAUGUCUUGAGAUAGCAGCAUAGUUAGGUUAAUCAAAUACCAGAGUUAACAUAGCAACCACUUGAACAAUGCCAGGAUCAAAUAGUUUCAUACCAGGUCCAGAUAAUGAUGAAAGUGCAAUCUCUGAUGUCAAAUUCAUUGGUCUCAUCCUCUGCCAGUCAAGUAAUAGGUUGAUGUAUGUUUCUAAUAGCUUUUCAAAAGUAUUAUCAACACAUAUCCUCGUAUUCCUUGUCACAAGCAUUUUCUCAAACACCUUAGGACAUGGAACCCCAAUUUUUUGUACAUCAACAGUAGUGCUUGAAUUGUGAAAUUGCAUAAGCAACUUGUCAAAAUGCUUUUCAAAUUGAGCCUCAUUAUUUUUCUGCACAAACUUACCCUCAAGCAAAUUUCCAAACACUUGGCGGGGGUUCCUAAGAACUAAGUCAGUUGUUUUCAAAACAAAUGUUUUGUUUACAUCAGGAGUAAUAGCAUCUGACCUUGUUGCAUAUGGGGUUGAAUCAACUGGGGUAGUGAUGAGAGAGGAGUCCUCGGAUGUAGAUGACUCGUGGGAUUCAAUCUCUGUUUCUGCACUACCCAAUUCCACCCUAGAAACCACCUCAGGUAGGAGAUGCACGUCUGAAGAAGCCUCAAACGGGAGCUGAGCUCCAUCCUCCAGUGUUGUUUCACUGAAAACAACCCUAUGAGGAGAAACUUGUUCAGAGCUUCUCUGAAUCUCAACCAAUGAAGAUUUCUCAAACCCAUAUUUGACUGUGGUUGUAGAAAAUCCGUUGGGUCUGUUGUAGACAAAGUACAAUCGGAACGCAACUUUGAAUUCCUCCCAGCUAUGGAUCUGUUGGUGGCUCAAUCGGAACCAUGUCAGGGCCUUGCCACCCAGAUGUAUUGCCAAGAGCUGGAACCGUGUUUCCCAUGGGUAGGGAUUUUGAAGGAAAUAGCAAUCUGCCAUGAACAACCAGUAUUCAGGGUUCUCUCCAUUGAACUCCGAGAGCUGCAGACUUGAAUGUGUUUGUGGGUAAUAAGAUGGGACAUUGUGACAGUAAUAAGGUGAUGUAUUGGGCUGAGAUGGGGGACUGUAGAAGAUGGAUCGGGGAUCACGUUGUGCGGAAAGGAUGGAUGAUAAUACAUCAUAGUUGAGCACCAUGAUGCAAUGGAAGGAAGAGAUCAAUGAUGAAAGCACCAAAUUGGUAGAGAGAAACUCUACCAAGUAAAAUCAAAGGAAGAAAAUCAAAAGAAAACUAAGAAAAGAAGAUAAAAUAAAACUUUGUCAAUUUUCUUGUUAAUCUUUCAUAAUGGAAUCCAUACAACUUAUACUAACUAUCCACUCUAAGGGAUGAAAGGUGACCUUACAUGUGGCACCAUCAUAGAAAGUAGAAUAUUCUAGAACAUGAUCUAAAUAAUAAACUAGAAAUAAACAUAGAAAUAAUAAUAACUAAUUAUAAUUGGCAUAGUAACUUGAGGCCCAUAAAUGAUGUAGCUAUAGAAGCCCAUUGAGAAUGCAACCCUCUACCAGUGAUACAUGAUAAUGAUUUACUGGCGGAUUGCGGAGAAACAAUUUAUUAUCUUCAAGUAAUUCAUAAAAAGGUGAAAUCAAGGAAAUAAUCUGUCUUAAUGAACUGGAUUCAGCUGACAAAGCUGUCAAUUAGAUUAUAUCAUAUUUUGAGAUUCUGGGAACCCAGAGCAAACAUGCUGGCUG